CGGUGGAGGAGGUAGCCAACACUGUUUUUUAUAUAUAUAUAUAUAUAUAUAUAUAUAUAUGUAUAUAUAUAUAUUUUUUUUUAAUUGGGGUAGCCCCCCAAAUAUGGGGACAUAUAAAAAAAGACAACUCUGUUCCGCAGAGUAGCUGUUGACAUUAUAGUUGAGCAGGCACUUUGUUGACUCUAGAGAACCUCGAGCCAAUCACACAUCCCCGUGACGGCGACUUUGCAUUCGGAUGUCAUCCAUAUCAACUUUCGAUGCCAGCUUCUGCACCUACCAUGGGGACCACAGGUAACGGGGAAUCAGGGUUCCAUUCCAUACAAGGACCCUGAGAAAUGGCUACCACAUGCAAGGAAGGCAGCAGGCGCGCAAAUGACCCACUCCUGACGCGGGAAGGUAGUGACGACAAAUAACAAUACAGGACUCUUUAGAGGCCCUGUAAUUGUAAUGAGUCCACUUGAAAUCCUUUAACUCUGAUCAAUUGGAGGGAAGUCUGGUGCAGAGCCACUGACCCGUGCUGCAA
rnacentral:rRNA from 1 species